UUCUCAACUAUGCACUACUAGCCUAGCCCUCUCAUUUCAUAUUUCUAUUUCUCUCUCCAAAUACAAAUUUCACUCUCUCUCUCUCGUCUCUUUCACCCAGAAAAACCCUAUCGCCUCCCUCUCUUCUCGUCUCUCUUUCCUUCCCCAACCCUAGCGCCACAGCCACUUUCUCCACCCUCUAUACGACCAUAACCACCUCCGAUUACGAAACUAACCUCAUAUUCGUUAUCCCCAUCUCAUUGCCUUCCAAAUGAACCAAAGGUUUUGGCGAAUCCUAUCGUCGACCACCGUCACAGCUCAUCUAACGAAGAGAAACCUCAGUCAUGGCUUCAAGUUUAAAGAGGGAAGUUUCCAUGUUUUUAUUUGAUUUUUAAUUUUAGUUUUGAAUCGUUGUUCUGUAAUUUUUGUUUUCAUUUGGUUUUGUUUUACGGUUUUGAUAGUUUCUGGCCUUGAAGGUGAAUAACAACAGUAGCAAUCAUCAUAAAUUCAUAUCAUUGUCUUGACGGUUAAUGAUUUUCAUAUAUGAUUGUUCCAUCGGUCGAAACAGAAUGAAUAUUUCUUGACCUUUCAUCAGUUGAUCUUGCUUCCAGACAUGUCAAGGCCUUCUAUCAUGAUUUGCGACUUGCUGCCAGAACAAAACAACUCUGUAAAUGGAAGUGUGCCCAAAAUUUCAUACCUGUGGUUAGUGUUGAAUGAAAAGAUUAAAGUGAAUACAAUAUUCUUUAGAGAUUCAAUUGGUGUCCCUGAUUCUAUGUUGCUCUUAUUUGGCGGGAACAUAUCCAAAGGUGGAAUGGAUGGUCACCUAAAAAUGUUGGGUAUCUGGUAUUUUUCAUGAAACCAGAAUAAGCCAAAACUUACUCAACUUUAAAGAGGGAACUGGGGGAAUUGAUAUAGAAAAAAGUGCUACAAUGCAAUUUAACACAAGUUCUUUUCUUGAUUGGAAGUGUAAAUAAGAGCUGAAUGUGAUUCUUCAAUGCAGUCAUUAUAUGCCUAUAGAAAGUCUUAUGGAAAGCUGAAUGCGAUAGAAACAUGAUGCCAUGGAUUAUAAUUGUAUAUCUCAGUGUCUAUUAUUUGAUCACUGUUAAUGGCUUAUACUUAUUCGAACGAUGUUGGUUAUACAUAUUCGAGCGGUGUUGGCAUUCCCAAUUUUGAAACAAUCUGGUGACAUUUCUAUAUCAAAUAGAAUUGGGAUGUUCGUGUCAAGCAAAAAACCAGAUUAUUUAGCAGAUAUGAUGAAUAUUUGUUUUGUUGCAGAUAACAUUUGAGCUGAUAGUAAAAGCUGUGAGGAUUGAAUUGUACUUCUUCUAUGUUAUAAAAAAAAGCCACGUUCCUUCAAAUUUCCAACAAGAUGUGUACUUCAUUUGUAUUAUCAAAUUAAUAAGAAAUCUCACCCAAUAAAGCCUA